UACGGGGGGAGGCAAGCGUUGUUCGGAUUUACUGGGCGUAAAGGGCGCGUAGGCGGUCGUGACAAGUCACUUGUGAAAUCUCCGGGCUUAACUCGGAACGGUCAAGUGAUACUGCUGUGCUAGAGUGCAGAAGGGGCAAUCGGAAUUCUUGGUGUAGCGGUGAAAUGCGUAGAUAUCAAGAGGAACAUCUGAGGUGAAGACGGGUUGCUGGGCUGACACUGACGCUGAGGCGCGAAAGCUAGGGGAGCGAACGGG
rnacentral:rRNA from 1 species